UUGCCCUCCUUUCUUCCCGUGGACGUAGAUUUACCUCAGUAAAUCGAACCACGUAAUUCCUUGUGUCGUGAUCUAUAUUCAUUACCUGCAUUUACUACUAUCAAAAAUUCGCCCAACCAUCAAUAACCUUGUCAAAUGGGGAAGAAAAUUUCUUUUCGGAUCUUGAAACUCUUAAAACUUCUAGUUUCAAGAGAGUUAUACUAUGUGUAUUAGCGUAUGCCUUGGUUGAGUAAGAGAAGUAUGUAGCUUGACCAUAUUAGUAUCUUUAAAAGCAUGUUUCUUCUCCCAGAUGCGAUGCGCAAUUAGUGGUUCUGGAAAGACAUCGAUGCCCAUGCUAGAGGAGCUUUUGCUUAUGGUGCACUUCCUAUAACAAUCUCAGGAGGAUUUUCAGUGUUGAUGAUGUGGCAGGAGGAGUUUGUGGCUAGGCUAUUGCUGGGCUAUUCCUAUUGUGGAUGGCCUUAUAAAAAGAAAGCCAAGUAAGGAGACUUUCCUUAACUGAUUCAUUAUUGAAACGACACGGAUUUUAAUGCAAAAUCUAGGUCUCCCUUUAUGCCUUUUAACUCUAUAGAAAUAUAGAUUGUUGCAUUCACGAAAUUAGAUGAUGCAAUUUCAUCCUUUUCGUGUCUAAAAGAGUGUACCUUAAAUUGGUCACCUGAAGAUUUUGAACUAAAAGAGCAUAACUAGAAUUGGCCAACUGAAGAUUUUAAAUUCAGGUAACACCCAAUGCAAUUAAACCUUUUCUUGGCACUAUUGCUACCAAGUUGGGGACACUUAUACUUUGUUACGUCCCUCUAUGCAUCCAUGACAUAAAUGAUUUGCAUUUGUAGGAAGCAAUGAAACAAACCUACGGGAGAGCACUCAAAUCAGCAACUGAUCUUGGUUAUCAGAAAGAAAGCCACGAUACUUCCCUCAACCAAUGCCUCAAUAUUGUUUUUUCGAUCUUUACAUUGCACAUUCAAGCAGUUCUACCUUCGUAUAUAUUGUUUCCAGUGUUAGUCGUUUCAGUUUUUGUCCAUUACUGUUCCACGUUUUCUUGCGUGCGUGUUGCUUCGUUUAAGUAGAUAUUUCAUCUCCAAAGCUGGAUUUUUGUUUUAGAAUCCAGUCUAUCUCACUUCCAUUCACUGUCAUCUUCGUACUUAACACCUUAUGCACGCAUGCCACUAGGGUGCACAUGCCCUUAGAGCUCGUGCACAAGCACUCUUGCUCUCUCACUAAGGCAUCUUUGUAGAGAGCAAUGGAGAAAUCAUGGUUUUUAACUAUAAAACUGCAAUGGAGUUGCCUA